rnacentral:rRNA from 1 species
AGAGUGAACGCUGGCGGCAGGCCUAACACAUGCAAGUCGAACGGCAGCACAGUAAGAGCUUGCUCUUAUGGGUGGCGAGUGGCGGACGGGUGAGGAAUACAUCGGAAUCUGCCUAUUUGUGGGGGAUAACGUAGGGAAACUUACGCUAAUACCGCAUACGACCUACGGGUGAAAGCGGAGGACCUUCGGGCUUCGCGCAGAUAGAUGAGCCGAUGUCGGAUUAGCUAGUGGUGGGUAAAGGCCCACCAAGGCGACGAUCCGUAGCUGGUCUGAGAGGAUGAUCAGCCACACUGGAACUGAGACACGGUCCAGACGUCCUACGGGAGGCAGCGAAGUGGGGAAUAGUUGGACAAUGGGCGCGAAGCCUGAUCCAGCCAAUGCCGCGUGAGUGAAGAAGGCCCUUAGGUGUAAAGCUACGUUUUGUAGGGAAGAAAAGCAAUACGGUUAAUACCCCGGUUUGUUCUACGUACGGUAACCCUAAAGAAA